rnacentral:lncRNA from 1 species
CAUAGAUAAGUAAAUUGAAUUCACAACUUAUGAAACGCAAUUAGAAGUAAUCCAAUCAUAACGCAAACAUAAUGAUGCGAAAUAGAUAAGCACACAAAUUAAACCCUCUUUUUGUCAAAUUGUAGUAAAGAUGUAAGUAGGGAUCGUUCUAGACCGGGGAUUAGGAGGGAUUGCUAAACACUUGGAAACUGACUUAAAACUCAAAAACAAAGUUUAAAAACACUAACUUAGACUCAAAGAAUGCAAAAGUAAAGGUUAAAACACUUAAACAAACCUAAAACUCAAAACAGCAACUAGAAGGCUCAAAACUGCCUAAAAACCACUUUCUGGGCAGUUUUGAGCACCUACACUAAUUUGGACGAAAUUUGAUGAAAUCUUGAAUCAAAAUACUUAGAAACACAAAUCAAAACACUUUCUAACUAAUCUAAGACUUCAAAUUAAAGGGGGAUUUGUUUUGGACGAAAAUUUAACACAAAACAGAAACUUUAACUAGCACAGAUUGUAAAAACGAUUUUGGUGAAAUAGAUGGAUAAAAGGCUAGUUAGGAGGUUCUUCUCCACACAUGUCACACUUGCAAACAAAACGAUUUUCAAUUGUUCUUCCAAUAAAUUAUAAAUACUCAACGCCCCAGAUUAACCGUGAAUUGCACUAAUUAACCCUCAGUUUUUCCACAAGUUAUUAAGUUGGAUGAUUGCAUACGACAACCCAAAACAUUCCCUACAAGUUCCCUACAUGAAUUGCAUAAUAGAGAUACAAGCAAGAAUCAUUACGUUCUAUGAAAAACAUAAGCAUUGACGAAGCAUUUGUUACUAUGAAUUGCAUGAAACUUAUGCUAAGAAUUCAUUCAACGCGAUCGUUUUCAAGCGAUCUUCACUACUUGUGAUUAUAAGAUUGUAACUAUUAGGUGAAACUCCCUCAUAAUCUAGCCUCAUAUUCAUGCAUGAAAACUAAGCGUGCACUCUCAAUCAACAUACACAAAUAAGUUAUCAAUCAAAUAGAUGAACGAAUUGAAUCCACAACUUAUGAAAUAACAACUGAAUGUAAUCAAAUCAUAUUGCAAGCAUGUACAUGGUUUCGAAUUACCCCCCAACUAAGGGGUUUAGUUCCUCAUACUCACAACACAAAGUUUAUUGAAUUGAAACAUUUAAAACAUAAGAAAGAUCACACCUAAAAAUUCCAGCAAUCUAAAUUGCACAGCAGGAACAUCUAAGAACCUUCCUCCUCUUCCUUGGUUGCGGCACAGGGGUUUGUGAUGGUUUUUGGGGGUUAUGGAUGGUGUAGAAUGGUGGAAAAGUGUGUAGGAUAGGUGUAUGGGACGGCUAGGGUGGUUUUGGGUCAGAAAAUAUGGUGAAUGAUGAAGGAUAGGUGCUGUUGAAGAUGGGGAAUGGUUUAUGGCGUGAAGGAUUAAUUUCUGGAUUAUGGAGAGGGUGGUGAUUCGGCCAAGGGAGGUAAAACAUAUAUAUAUAGGCAGCCAAACCCUAAAGAAAUCAGAUUAGACAAAUGGGCUAGGGUUUAGGUGCGGCUAGGGUUAGGAAAUCCACCAAAAACUAGGGUUUCUAGAACAUUAGGUGCGGCAUGGGCUUAGGGUAAGUAAUCAGAUUUUUUUUCAUGUGAACAAGGCCUAGGUGCGGCUGAUUAAGUGGGCUAGGGUUAGGGUUAGGUGCGGCAUAGGUCCAAGAGGCAAAGAUGGGUCAUCCAAAAGCCCAAAGCCGAGAAUAGAAACUCUCGAAAUUGGAAACCUCCAAGAAUAGAAACUUCCAACUUUAGAAACUUUGGUUGCCAAUUCUGAUUUAGGAAAGAUCAACCCAAAAUGGAAACUUUUAGGCUUAGCUUUCCUACUUCAAGUAGGAAACCUCAAAUCUCGAACUCUUCAAUUUCAACCCAACCUUGUGUUCCAAGCAUGUCCUUUUCAUUCCAAGCUCACUUUUUGCUCCAAAAGCUCCAAAUUGCAUCAU